AAUAAGGUGCCUGAAAAAAGGAUUAUUUUGAUGUAAUAAAUUAAGUGAAAUUUCACCCUUAUUA
rnacentral:tRNA from 1 species